rnacentral:rRNA from 1 species
UACGUAGGGUGCAAGCGUUAAUCGGAAUUACUGGGCGUAAAGCGUGCGCAGGCGGUCCGCUAAGACAGAUGUGAAAUCCCCGGGCUUAACCUGGGAACUGCAUUUGUGACUGGCGGGCUAGAGUAUGGCAGAGGGGGGUAGAAUUCCACGUGUAGCAGUGAAAUGCGUAGAGAUGUGGAGGAAUACCGAUGGCGAAGGCAGCCCCCCUGGGCCAAUACUGACGCUCAUGCACGAAAGCGUGGGGGGAGCAAACAGGAUUAGAUACCCUGGUAGUCCACGCCCUAAACGAUGUCAACUAGUUGUCGGGUCUUCAUUGACUUGGUAACGUAGCUAACGCGUGAAGUUGACCGCCUGGGGAGUACGGUCGCAAGAUUAAAACUC